rnacentral:rRNA from 1 species
UACAGAGGGUGCAAACGUUGCUCGGAAUCACUGGGCGUAAAGGGCGUGUAGGCGGGCAGGAAAGUCAGAUGUGAAAUCCCUGGGCUCAACCCAGGAACUGCAUUUGAAACUCCCUUUCUUGAGUGUCGGAGAGGAAAGCGGAAUUCCUGGUGUAGAGGUGAAAUUCGUAGAUAUCAGGAGGAACACCGGUGGCGAAGGCGGCUUUCUGGACGAUAACUGACGCUGAGACGCGAAAGCGUGGGGAGCAAACAGG